rnacentral:miRNA from 1 species
UGUAGUUAAUUUUUUCUUUGGGAA